GUGUCAGCAGCCGCGGUAAUACGGAAUGUGCAAACGUUAUUCGGAAUCACUGGGCUUAAAGAGUCUGUAGGCGGUUUGUUAGGUGAGGUGUGAAAUCCCUCGGCCCAACCGAGGAAUUGCGCUUCAAACCGGCGAGCUAGAGGAGGAUAGAGGUGGGCGGAACUGAUGGUGGAGCGGUGAAAUGCGUUGAUAUCAUCAGGAACACCGGAGGCGAAAGCGGUCCACUGGGUCCUUUCUGACGCUGAUGGACGAAAGCUAGGGGAGCGAACGGGAUUAGAUACCCCGGUAGUCCUAGCCUUAAACGAUGAGCACUAGACCGAAGAAUCUCCACGAUUUUUUGGUCGUAGCGAAAGUGUUAAGUGCUCCGCCUGGGGAGUAUGGUCGCAAGGCUGAA
rnacentral:rRNA from 1 species